rnacentral:rRNA from 1 species
GAGAAAGUGGAGCAAUCCAUGAGUAAAGUGGCGUACGGGUGAGUAACACGUGGAUCAUCUACCUUCUAGUGGGGAAUACCUCCGGGAAACUGGAGACAAUACCGCAUAAGCUCGUAAGAGGAAAGCAGCAAUGCGCUGGAAGAGGAGUCCGCGGCUGAUUAGCUAGUUGGUGAGGUAACGGCCCACCAAGGCGAAGAUCGGUAGCCGGCCUGAGAGGGCACACGGCCACACUGGCACUGAAACACGGGCCAGACUCCUACGGGAGGCAGCAGUGGGGAAUCUUGCACAAUGGGGGAAACCCUGAUGCAGCGACGCCGCGUGAACGAUGAAGCCCCUCGGGGUGUAAAGUUCUUUCGACGGGAACGAUAAUGACGGUACCCGAAGAAGGAGCUGCGGCUAACUACGUGCCAGCAGCCGCGGUAAUACGUAGGCAGCAAGCGUUGUUCGGAAUUACUGGGCGUAAAGAGUGUGUAGGCGGUGCUCUAAGUCUGUCGUGAAAUCUCCCGGCUUAACUGGGAGGGUGCGGCGGAAACUGGAAUGCUAGAGGGUGGGAGGGGUAAGCGGAAUUCCUGGUGUAGCGGUGAAUGCGUANAUAUCA